rnacentral:rRNA from 1 species
GGACGGGUGAGUAACGCUUGGGAAUCUGCCUAUUAGUGGGGGACAACCCGGGGAAACUCGGGCUAAUACCGCAUACGCACUACGGUGGAAAGCCGGGGACCGCAAGGCCUGGCGCUAAUAGAUGAGCCCAAGUCGGAUUAGCUAGUUGGUAGGGUAAUGGCCUACCAAGGCGACGAUCCGUAACUGGUCUGAGAGGACGACCAGUCACACCGGAACUGAGACACGGUCCGGACUCCUACGGGAGGCAGCAGUGGGGAAUAUUGGACAAUGGGCGAAAGCCUGAUCCAGCGACGCCGCGUGGGUGAAGAAGGCCUGCGGGUUGUAAAGCCCUUUCAGUGGGGAAGAAAAGCCUCGACCUAACAUGUCGGGGUCUUGACGUAACCCAUAGAAGAAGCACCGGCUAACUCUGUGCCAGCAGCCGCGGUAAUACAGAGGGUGCGAGCGUUAAUCGGAAUUACUGGGCGUAAAGCGCGCGUAGGCGGCUUCGCAAGUCGGAUGUGAAAUCCCCGGGCUCAACCUGGGAACUGCAUUCGAGACUGCGUUGCUAGAGUAUGGGAGAGGGAAGUGGAAUUUCCGGUGUAGCGGUGAAAUGCGUAGAUAUCGGAAGGAACAUCAGUGGCGAAAGCGACUUCCUGGACCAAUACUGACGCUCAUGUGCGAAAGCGUGGGGAGCAAACAGGAUUAGAUACCCUGGUAGUCCACGCCAUAAACGAUGAGAACUGGAUGUCGGGAGGGUCUGCCUCUCGGUGUCGUAGCUAACGCGUUAAG